UUAGAAGUAAAUGUAGAUAAUUUUUUAAAUGUUUAUACAAAAAGCUAGACUUUUAGUAUACAUUCUAACACUCCUCACGUCGUUCUCUUCCUUCCUCUCCCUCACGCACUGCCCUCUCCCGAUUCCUCGUCGCUGUGGACCACCGAACUCCGACGCCGAUGAGCUCUAAUCGUCGAUCACCCAACACCGUUCGAUGUCGUCCAAUCUCUCGGCCUGUCGCGAUGAUAGCUUCCAACCCUCUCUAAUCUGUCGCUCGCCCUCGAGCGUCGCUGCCUUUGCCGACGUCGUCGGCUUGGUGAGUCAUUGGCCUUUCCUCGAUCAUGAGCAAGAUCUCCGACGUCCGUUCAUUUGAGUGUGGGUAGUUGUUGUCGUUUGACAGCAUCACCACUCCAAUCCAGAGCGGUGCCCUAGCUUGGAUCCAUCGCCCCUCUCCCAAUCACAUCGCCCUUUUAUGAAAUUGUCGUGCUAUCCUCGUCGUGCCAUCUACUGCCGGUUCUUUCUUCACCCAUCUCAUCAGCCGCAUCUGUUGGGUCUCUUGCAGAAAGGAAGCUGCCGACACAGAAUUAGGGUAAGGCAUGCUUGGAGUUUGAAUGGUAGAGACCUAGUUUCCAUUUUUAGAAUUGGGAGAUUGUGAUUUGUAGUUUUGCCAACCACUGUAACUCCAACUGCUAUUUUUCCAGCAGUAGCUUUCAGCCACUAUUUUCGACAGCAAGCUUCUCUGGCUAUGAGUCAAUAGCGAUGCAUUUGGAUUAGGUAUGAUUAGUUCGCUUAUUUUUCCUAUCAUGUUGGUAGAUGAUACAAUGGAUUGAAUAAUGGGUAAUUGAUAGGUUUCUUUGAUUUAGUUGUUAGGUUAUGUUUUUAUUGGAUUAGUGUGUUGGUUAGUGAGUUUUGGAUUGAUUAUGCUUGUAGUAAAUCCUAAUUGGAAGGGGAAAUGAUUGGGGAUACUUAAUCUAUUUGGUUAUGGAUUAGAGAUUCAUUUAUGAGUUGAUUUCUCUAGUUAGAAUAAUUUGGAUGAUAACAUGAUCAUUAUCAGGAUUUUAGAAGGAUUAAACCUAAUCUAGUGAAAGUUAUGUAUUGAGUUAAAUCUAACAGGGUUAAUGGUUAAACUACCAGAUUUGGGGUUAAUAGUUGAAAUAGAAUUAAUAUAUAGAUUCCUAAUCAUAUUAGGGUUCAGUUAGCUAUUUGGUUUAUGAUGGAUUUAGCUAACUAGUUCAUACUUGAUUAGUUAUAUCAUACACUAUGUGAUCGCAGGAUUUGUGUUCGGGACGAGCGUCUCGACGUAUGACUACUUGACACGAUCUACGUAUAAAGACGGGUGGCAGGUAGAUGAAUCAAGGAUGCUUGGGAGAGUCCUGCCUGCCGGUCCUACGUCACAUCCGAAGACUGCAUCGGGUUUCAUUUAUUCUUUACUCGUAUUUUGUAUUUGGUGUUAUAUUAAUUCGAUUAUUUUUUGGAGUUUAUUAUGUGGAGUUGAAUUUUGUGUUGUUGUAAUUGUUGUAUAAAGCCAAGUCAA